rnacentral:rRNA from 1 species
AAGGAUCAUUACUGAUUUGCUUAAUUGCACCACAUGUGUUUUUCUUUGAAACAAACUUGCUUUGGCGGUGGGCCCAGCCUGCCGCCAGAGGUCUAAACUUACAACCAAUUUUUUAUCAACUUGUCACACCAGAUUAUUACUAAUAGUCAAAACUUUCAACAACGGAUCUCUUGGUUCUCGCAUCGAUGAAGAACGCAGCGAAAUGCGAUACGUAAUAUGAAUUGCAGAUAUUCGUGAAUCAUCGAAUCUUUGAACGCACAUUGCGCCCUCUGGUAUUCCGGAGGGCAUGCCUGUUUGAGCGUCGUUUCUCCCUCAAACCGCUGGGUUUGGUGUUGAGCAAUACGACUUGGGUUUGCUUGAAAGACGGUAGUGGUAAGGCGGGAUCGCUUUGACAAUGGCUUAGGUCUAACCAAAAACAUUGCUUGCGGCGGUAACGUCUACCACGUAUAUCUUCAAACUUUGACCUCAAAUCAGGUAGGACUACCCGCUGAACUUAAGCAUAU